rnacentral:rRNA from 1 species
GUAGGGAAUAUUGGACAAUGGGCGCAAGCCUGAUCCAGCCAUGCCGCGUGAGUGAUGAAGGCCUUCGGGUUGUAAAACUCUUUUCUGAGGGAAGAACAGACGGGAAAGGAAAUGGUCCCGUUUUGACGGUACCUCAGGAAUAAGGGACGGCUAACUCCGUGCCAGCAGCCGCGGUAAUACGGAGGUCCCAAGCGUUGUUCGGAAUUACUGGGCGUAAAGGGAGCGCAGGCGGACGGGUCAGUCUGAAGUGGAAAUCCGGGGCUCAACCUCGGACUUGCUUCGGAUACUGCCCGUCUUGAGUUCGUGAGAGGAUGAUGGAAUUCAGGGUGUAGCGGUGAAAUGCUCAGAUAUCCUGAGGAACACCUGUGGCGAAAGCGGUCAUCUGGCGCGAAACUGACGCUGAGGCUCGAAAGCGUGGGGAGCAAACGGGAUUAGAAACCCCGGUAGUCC